rnacentral:rRNA from 1 species
GGACGAACGCUGGCGGCGUGCCUAAUACAUGCAAGUCGAGCGGAGUAUUGAAAAGCUUGCUUUUCAAAACUUAGCGGCGGACGGGUGAGUAACACGUGGGCAACCUGCCCUUGAGACGGGGAUAACUCCGGGAAACCGGAGCUAAUACCGGAUAACACAUAUCUUCGCAUGAGGAUAUGUUAGAAGGUGGCUUUUAGCUACCACUCAAGGAUGGGCCCGCGGCGCAUUAGCUAGUUGGUGAGGUAACGGCUCACCAAGGCGACGAUGCGUAGCCGACCUGAGAGGGUGAUCGGCCACACUGGGACUGAGACACGGCCCAGACUCCUACGGGAGGCAGCAGUAGGGAAUCUUCCGCAAUGGACGAAAGUCUGACGGAGCAACGCCGCGUGAGUGAUGAAGGUUUUCGGAUCGUAAAGCUCUGUUGUUAGGGAAGAACAAGUACCUGUUGAAUAAGCAGGUACCUUGACGGUACCUAACCAGAAAGCCACGGCUAACUACGUGCCAGCAGCCGCGGUAAUACGUAGGUGGCAAGCGUUGUCCGGAAUUAUUGGGCGUAAAGCGCGCGCAGGCGGUUCCUUAAGUCUGAUGUGAAAGCCCACGGCUCAACCGUGGAGGGUCAUUGGAAACUGGGGAACUUGAGUGCAGAAGAGGAGAGCGGAAUUCCACGUGUAGCGGUGAAAUGCGUAGAGAUGUGGAGGAACACCAGUGGCGAAGGCGGCUCUCUGGUCUGUAACUGACGCUGAGGCGCGAAAGCGUGGGGAGCGAACAGGAUUAGAUACCCUGGUAGUCCACGCCGUAAACGAUGAGUGCUAAGUGUUAGAGGGUUUCCGCCCUUUAGUGCUGCAGCAAACGCAUUAAGCACUCCGCCUGGGGAGUACGGUCGCAAGACUGAAACUCAAAGGAAUUGACGGGGACCCGCACAAGCGGUGGAGCAUGUGGUU